rnacentral:piRNA from 1 species
GAGACACUGAACAAACUAACUUGGCUGC